CAAUGUCUGGAGCCCUUGAUGUCCUGCAAAUGAAGGAGGAUGAUGUCCUUACGUUCCUUGCAGCAGGAACCCACUUAGGUGGCACCAAUCUUGACUUCCAGAUGGAACAGUACAUCUAUAAAAGGAAAAGUGAUGGCAUCUACAUCAUAAAUCUGAAGAGGACCUGGGAGAAGCUUCCGCUGGCAGCUCAUGCCAUUGUUGCCAUUGAAAACCCUGUAGAUGUCAGUGUCAUAUCCUCCAGGAAUACUGGCCAGAGGGCCAUGCUGAAGUUUGCUGCUGCCACUGGAGCAAACUCCAAUUGCUGGCCACUUCAUUCCUGGAAGCUUCACUAACCAGAUCCAGGCAGCCUUCCAGGAGCCAUGGCUUCUUGUGGUUACUGACCCCAGGGCUGACCGCCAGCCUCUCACAGAGGCAUCUUAUGUUAACCUACCUACCAUUGCUCUGUGUAACACAGAUUCUCCCCUGCGCUAUGUGGACAUUGACAUCCCAUGCAACAACAAGGGAGCUCACUCAGUGGGUUUAAUGUGGUGGAUGCUGGCUCGGGAAAUUCUGCACAUGUGUGGCACCAUUUCCCAUGAACACCCAUGGAGGUCAUGCCUGAUCUCUACUUCUACAGAGAUCCUGAAGAGAUUGAAAAAGAAGAGCAGGCUGUUGCUGAAAAGGCUGUGACUGAGGAGGAAUUUCAGGGUGAAUGUACUGCUCCAGCUCCUGAGUUCACUGCUACUUAGCCUGAGAUUGCAGACUGGUCUGAAAGCGUGCAGGUGACCUCUGUGCCUACUGAAGAUUGGAGUGCUCAGCCUGCCACGGAAGACCGCUCUGCAGCUCCCACUGCUCAGGCCACUGAAUGGGUAGGAGCAACCAC
rnacentral:lncRNA from 1 species